UUCGGGGGGGGGGGCUUGGAAUCCCCUCCCAGUCCCCGGAGAGUCCCGGGCUCUCGCCUUUCCCAGAUUCUGCUGGGGGCCUGCUUUGCAGCCUGAUCCCUCCUAAGUGGUGGUGGGGUUCCCCUCCGGCUGCGCGACCCUAGGCGCUGGCUUCUUUGGGCCUCUGCGUCCCUACCUGUCUAAUGGGCAUGCAAUGCCGACCUCCUUGGGUUGCAGGAAGCGUUAAAAAAAAUAAUAUGGGGCAUACAAGUAAGUGCUUAAUAAACGGUGGUGGUCGCGGGAGGCCCCUCGAGGUCUGCAAUGUUGGGGGCUGCGAAGGUCGGCCUGUCCCCUCACCUGUCCUGUGAGAAUGCACACCAGCCUCACCGGAUUGCAGGAAGCAGUACUUAAAAUAAGGGGUAUACCGUAAGCGCUCGACAAAUGUCACCUGGUGGUCGCGGGAGGCCGCCCCGAGGUCUCCAGAAGCAGGGACGAGCCCGGGCGCCCCCUCCCUACCCGCUUUGAGUUUCAGGGUGGGGCGCCCGUGGGAGGCGCAGGUGGCUGGGCUUCCGCGGGCUGAGCGCCCCCUGCCGGCGCCUCGCGUUCCACCGUUUGAUCGCACCUGGACGCCGGGCCUAGGGAGACGUCAAUGCCGGGGUGAAAGCCAGAGGAAAACGGUUCGUGCUUGCGCUGCACGCUGCCACCUCGGGGCCCCUUGCAGUGACGGUCGCCACUUCCAUCUCUUCUGUCCAGAGUGGGCGCUGAUAUAGAUGAACAAGACGUGAAUCCUGUCCCCAGGGAGAGGUUUCCUGGUGGAGGACUGGACGCGAUCAAACAUAUUUAACUCAUUGGCCGUAAUCGUCAUCCAUGCCGCUGGCAGGGACGUCGGCUCCACCGCGCGGGAGUUGGGGUCUGUGUGGCUCGGCGUGGUGCUCCCGGUACCCAGGAGGCGCUCAACAAACGCGUGCUGGUGGCGUGGCUGGAUGCAUCCCCAGCAGCACUCUGAGGCGCUUGGCGUUCCUGGAAAAGGCCACAUCGUUUGAAGAAGGAGAAGCAUGGGUCCCAGGAGAGCGCGUGACGAACGUGUGACAACGAUUGUUUUUAACGCGUGAGGGGACCCAGGGGAUGUCACCACCGGUUCGAAGAGCUCAGAGCUCCAAGAGCCGCACACCCAAGGCAGUCAGGACAGGGACAGUGGACACGGGCGGUCCUCGGCCACCUGUCACACGGCUUCUGCUUCUCUGGGUGUGUGAGUUCCGCCACCUGCAUUGUUGGGGGGCGCGGUCCCCAUCAGACUCUGCAGGCUCCAGACACCAGCCGCACCUGGGCCACCCUCACUGCAGACCAGCUGGCUGCAUACUCGGGGGUCCCCACAACCAUGCCCAGGCACGAUGCCUCCCUGGGGUGACUCAGGACUCGGGAAAGUACCCGGUGACCUACGACCGAGAUGCACGAGGCCCCUGGGGUGGCCGUGACCAGGUCCCACACACUGAGGGGCUUGAAGCUGCGGGUUUACCCUCUCCCAGGUUGAAGGCCAGGGGUCGAGAACUCGGGCGUUGGCAAGAGAUGGUCUGUGCCAGGCCCCCAUACGACCUCACCUUAACCAAUCACGUCUGCAAAGACCCUGUUUGCGAAGCAGGUCCCAUUCACAGGGUUCAGGGGGACACUAGUCACUCCCACACAGACGGUGGAGAUUUGCAGCCCCAGGCUGGAGGGGCCGGACACGCAGUGGGGGUCAGCCAGCGAGCUUGGGGGGCGCGGAGUGCGGGAGAGGCAGCUCCCCUUCGGCCCUCCCUCCUCCCCAGUGUCGCCCCCAGGGCUGUGACCCCAAACAGAUCUCACAUCACCCCUCCUCCACAUCCUCUGGGCAGCACCCCAACACUCGCGGGACCCAGAGCAAGGAUUCAAGGGGCCACGAAGCCGUGUCCAAAAAUUACACGGCAGAUAACAAACAGCUAAACAGAACAGGUUUUGCCCCCGCCCAGUUGGACACCCCCAUGCGUCACCACUGAGGGCCACGUCAGGCCACACGCCACACCGCUUCACACCGGCGAAGACUGACACGGUCAGAGACAGACGGUGACACGUGUCGGGAGGGUCUGGAGACCCUGGACCCUCGCUGCUGGCAGGGCUGGAAACGGCCGCCGCCAUGGGACAGCCCCGCUCCUCAGAGGUCAAGCGCGGUCAGCGCCUGGCCUGUGCCUCCCCGCCACCCGUAGGGAGAGAAACCCCACGUCCUCGCUCCAGAACCUUCGCGGCUGUAAUGUUCCGAAUUUCCGAGAAGUGCAAACAGCCCAAUGUCCAUCCACUGAUGAUAGAUGGAAAAAUUGUGGUCAGUCCACACGGGGGAGGGGCACUCGGCCGUGGGAAUGGGGGGAGGCGCUGACACUCACCAUGACGUGGACCCUGAAUACGUGACGCUCAGUGAGAGACGCCAGACACACAAGGCCACGCAGUGUGUGAUUUUGUUUACAUGACACGUCUAGAACAGGUGCAUCCACAGACAGGAAGAGGGUGAGUGGGUGCCAGGGGCUGG